rnacentral:tRNA from 1 species
GCCGGGAUGGCGAAAUUGGUAGACGCGACGGACUUAAAAUCCGUUGGGAGUAAAAUCCCGUGCCGGUUCGAUUCCGGCUCUCGGCA